GGGUUAUUUUGUUGCCUUCAUCUCUUUCUCACCUUCAUCCUCAUCUCACCAUCAUCUUGCCUUCAUCGUCAUCUCUUUCUCGUCGUCGCCAUCUCACUCUCUCUCAAUUAGGUUUGAUUAAUAUUGUUGAUGAUGUUAAAUUUGAGGCUAUGAGAUAUGAUGCUCUUGUUCUGCUGCAUCAUUUAUAGUUGUUGAUUUCUCAUUUUGUUGCUCAUCUUUUCCCUAAUGCCAAUAUGGCUUUCGUGAGACUGGAUUUAGUGCAACUUUGAAAGUUUUAGUUUUUAAUGAAAUUGAUUAGCUUUCCAUCAUAAUCUGGUAAUAGAUAUUUUUUUCAACUAGAUGUAAUCGAUUACAAUGUAAAAAAAUGCAUAUAUGUGAUGCUUGUAAUAUGUUGUAAUGGAUUACGAGUAUAUUGUAAUCGAUUACAUCAUGAGUUUUUCCAACAAAAUAUUACUAUUGAUGGAGGGCUUAAUCCUCAAGAAGAUGUAGAUAGUUACACUUAAAUACAUCUUUAACCAACAAUGUAAACUUAAGAUCUAACCAAGACAAUGAUACAUGGAUGAAUUAGAAUGUUUACUCUCUAAAUGAGAUGUGUUUUGAUUUAUUGCUCUAAUUAUGUAAGACUUAAAUUUUGAUGCACUUUUAUUUUGAUUUAUGU